rnacentral:tRNA from 1 species
GGGGUUGUGGCUCAGUGGUAGAGCACUCAUCUAGAACAUGCACGGCCCUGGGUUCGAUCCUCAGCACCACA